rnacentral:rRNA from 1 species
GAUGAACGCUGGCGGCGUGCCUAAUACAUGCAAGUCGAGCGAACAGACGAGGAGCUUGCUCCUCUGACGUUAGCGGCGGACGGGUGAGUAACACGUGGAUAACCUACCUAUAAGACUGGGAUAACUUCGGGGAACCGGAUCUAAUACCGGAUAAUAUAUUGAACCGCAUGGUUCAAUAGUGAAAGACGGUUUUGCUGUCACUUAUAGAUGGAUCCGCGCCGCAUUAGCUAGUUGGUAAGGUAACGGCUUACCAAGGCUACGAUGCGUAACCGACCUGAGAGGGAGAUCGCACACACGGGAAGUGAGACACGGCCCAGACUCUUACGGGAGGCAGCAGUAGGGAAUCUUCCGCAAUGGGCGAAAGCCUGACGGAGCAACGCCGCGUGAGUGAUGAAGGUCUUCGGAUCGUAAAGCUCUGUUAGUAGGGAAGAACAAAAGUGUAAGUAACUAUGCACGUCUUGACGGUACCUAAUCAGAAAGCCCCGGCUAACUACGUG